AACGCACCUUGCGCUCUCUGGUAUUCCGGAGAGCAUGCCUGUUUGAGUGUCAUGAACUCUUCAACCCACCAGUUUCUUGCUAAACUGCGCUGGUGUUUGGUUUCUGAACGUUGCUGGUUCCUUGUUGAACUUCAGCUCGCUUAAAAUACAUUAGCAUCUCAAUUUCGAAACUUGGAUUGACUCAGCGUAAUAGACUUUUCGCUGAGGACACCUUCAGGGUGGCCAUGUUAGAUAACGAUUGAUGCUUAUAGCACUCUAUCUAGUCACUCUUAGAUUAGACCUCAGAUCAGGCAGGAUUACCCGCUGAACUUAA
rnacentral:misc_RNA from 1 species